GAUGAACGCUGGCGGCGUGCCUAACACAUGCAAGUCGAACGGAGUUCUUAAGGAAUGCGGCUUCGGCUAAAUGACUUUUGGAACUUAGUGGCGGACGGGUGAGUAACGCGUGAGCAACCUGCCUUUCAGAGGGGGAUAACAUUUGGAAACAGAUGCUAAUACCGCAUAAGAUUACAGUACCGCAUGAUACAGUGAUCAAAGGAGCAAUCCGCUGAAAGAUGGGCUCGCGUCCGAUUAGAUAGUUGGUGAGGUAACGGCUCACCAAGUCGACGAUCGGUAGCCGGACUGAGAGGUUGAACGGCCACAUUUGGGGACUGAGACACGGCCCAGACUCCUACGGGAGGCAGCAGUGGGGAAUAUUGCACAAUGGGCGAAAGCCUGAUGCAGCGACGCCGCUGGAGAGAAGGU
rnacentral:rRNA from 1 species